rnacentral:rRNA from 1 species
GACGAACGCUGGCGGCGUGCUUAACACAUGCAAGUCGAACGGAAAGGCCCUGCUUUUGUGGGGUGCUCGAGUGGCGAACGGGUGAGUAACACGUGAGUAACCUGCCCUUGACUUUGGGAUAACUUCAGGAAACUGGGGCUAAUACCGGAUAGGAGCUCCUGCUGCAUGGUGGGGGUUGGAAAGUUUCGGCGGUUGGGGAUGGACUCGCGGCUUAUCAGCUUGUUGGUGGGGUAGUGGCUUACCCAGGCUUUGACGGGUAGCCGGCCUGAGAGGGUGACCGGCCACAUUGGGACUGAGAUACGGCCCAGACUCCUACUGGAGGCAGCAGUGGGGAAUAUUGCACAAUGGGCGGAAGCCUGAUGCAGCAACGCCGCGUGCGGGAUGACGGCCUUCGGGUUGUAAACCGCUUUCGCCUGUGACGAAGCGUGAGUGACGGUAAUGGGUAAAGAAGCACCGGCUAACUACGUG